AACGAACGCUGGCGGCAGGCCUAACACAUGCAAGUCGAGCGAGACCUUCGGGUCUAGCGGCGGACGGGUGAGUAACGCGUGGGAAUAUGCCCUUCGGUUCGGAAUAGCCCCGGGAAACUGGGAGUAAUACCGGAUACGGUCUACGGACGAAAGAUUUAUCGCCGAAGGAUUAGCCCGCGUUGGAUUAGGUAGUUGGUGGGGUAAUGGCCUACCAAGCCGACGAUCCAUAGCUGGUUUGAGAGGAUGAUCAGCCACACUGGGACUGAGACACGGCCCAGACUCCUACGGGAGGCAGCAGUGGGGAAUCUUAGACAAUGGGGGAAACCCUGAUCUAGCCAUGCCGCGUGAGCGAUGAAGGCCUUAGGGUUGUAAAGCUCUUUCAGCUGGGAAGAUAAUGACUGUACCAGCAGAAGAAGCCCCGGCUAACUCCGUG
rnacentral:rRNA from 1 species